rnacentral:rRNA from 1 species
GAUGAACGCUGGCGGCGUGCCUAAUACAUGCAAGUCGAGCGAACAGACGAGGCGUUUGCUCCUUUGACGAUAGCGGCGCACGGGUGAGUCACACGUGGAUCCCCUCCCUAUAAGACUGGGAUCACUUCGGGACACCGGAGAUAACACCGGAUCAUAUUUCGCACCGCGUGGUUCGAUAGUGAAAGAUGGCUUUGCUCUCACUUAUAGAUGGACCUGCGCCGUAUUAGCUAGUUGGUAAGGUCACGGCUUACCAAGGCAACGAUACGUAGCCGACCUGAGAGGGUGAUCGGCCACACUGGAACUGAGACACGGUCCAGACUCCUACGGGAGGCAGCAGUAGGGAAUCUUCCGCAAUGGGCGAAAGCCUGACGGAGCAACGCCGCGUGAGUGAUGAAGGUCUUCGGAUCGUAAAACUCUGUUAUUAGGGAAGAACAAACGUGUAAGUAACUGUGCACGUCUUGACGGUACCUAAUCAGAAAGCCACGGCUAACUACGUG